UGCCCGGCACGGCGUAAAACUGUACAGCCCGAGGGAGCGACCCCGUAAAAAGCACA
rnacentral:ncRNA from 1 species